rnacentral:rRNA from 1 species
UACGUAGGGGGCAAGCGUUGUCCGGAUUUAUUGGGCGUAAAGCGCUCGCAGGUGGUUCAUUGCGUCGUGCGUGAAAGACCCCGGCUCAACUGGGGAGGGUCGUGCGAAACGGGUGAACUAGAGGCCAGUAGGGGGAUGUGGAAUUCCGGGUGUAGUGGUGGAAUGCGUAGAGAUCCGGAGGAACACCAGCGGCGAAGGCGGCAUCCUGGACUGGUCCUGACACUCAGGAGCGAAAGCGUGGGGAGCGAUCCGG